rnacentral:rRNA from 1 species
AGAGUUAAACAGUACGUGAAAUUGUUGAAAGGGAAACGAUUGAAGUCAGUCAUGCUUGCAGGGAAUCAACACGGUGGUUUUCUUCCUUGUGCACUUCCCUGCUUGGCAGGUUAGCAUCAAUUUUGAUUGUCAUUAAAGAACUGGGGGAAUGUGGCUUCCUCGGGAGUGUUAUAGACCCUGGUAGAUGUGGCGAUCGGGAUUGAGGAUUGCAGCGAAUGCUUCUUGGCUAGUCACCUGGCUUCUGACGGUUACCUUGCUUCCGAUAGCUUGCUAACGGUGGUGAGACUCGAUUGUCUAGAUGUUAGUGUGAUCAUAAAUUCGCUAAGGAUGCUGACGUAAUGGCUUUAAACGACC